GGAGCGAAGGUACUCGUAGUUUUCAAUAUAGGAGAGGAGCGAAGCCACUCGACUGAGGUUAGGAAGGUUCAGAGCGAAGGUACUCGACUGAUAAGGAGAGGAGCGAAGGUACUCGACUGAUAAGGAGAGGAGCGAAGGUACUCGACUGAUAAGGAGAGGAGCCCUUUCCCUUUAUAUUAGAAAUAACUCGACUAAUUAAACUACCACGGACCGGUGAGAAGAAUGAGAGAAGCGACUGAAAGUUAAGGAAUUCUCCCUUCUUUCUCGCCCUUCAAAGACGAAAUAACUCGACUCCAAAUGAUAAGGAUCAAAGACUGAUCUCAGAAUUUUCAAGCUCAUUCCUUAUUCUUCAAAAAAAAAGGAGUGCAACUUGUUUAUAUCCAUAUUCAUCUGUCCGAAGGACUCUCAAAUUCUUUGAGCCUGACGCUAGGAGCAAAGAAUUUGCGAAAAGGGUCAAAGCCCUCAAGAAAAAAGGAUCAAAGAAUUAUCGAAGGCAAUUAUAUUAUAAGGCGCAAAGAAUUUGCGUAGUAGAAGGAGCAAAGAAUUUGCGAACCUGAAAGGAGAGGUGAAAGGCUCAUUGAACUCGACUGAGGUUAGGAAGGCGGAGUAGGAGAUUGAUUCUUUGCUCCUUAACAGGAGUGCAAAAAGGUGAAAAGAAUUUGAAUGAAAGAGGAGGCUCGACUGAAAGGAGUCCAAGAUUCAAGCUUCAUCAAUGAAUAAAGAGAAGCUCCUUAACAGGAGUGCAAGGCAGUCGGCUGAAUGAAUAUGAGUUCCUCAUUCCACUAUCAAAAUCAUUCAUUCCACUCAAAAAAGUCCUGAGGACGGACUCAUUCAUUCCACUAUCAGAAUCUGAGGAUAGGCUUGAUUUUCAGAAUGUAGAUGUAUCAAAGAUGGAACUAGAAGAAUUUGAGAAGCGGAGGCUCAAAGCCUACCUCUUACGCUGAAAAAAGUGGUUAACCAUCUCUUUGAAAUCCAUCCAUCUCGUCGAGACGAAAAAGGUGUCUCAACUACAGCCAACUCCCCUCUUUCCCUAUCUCAAAACUCACCCUACAACAUGGAUGAUAGAAAUGCUAACCAAACACACACACCCUUAUACACUAAUCAAGGCUCAAAGAAUAUUGAGGCGAGACCCAUCAAAAUGCAAAAUCUCUUUCGCAAAUUCGCAAAUUCUUUGCGCCUUUGUUCAUUGAUUCAGCUUGAAUCUUGGACUCCUUUCAGACUAAUUAAGCUACUCCGCUCCAUGAAUAUGGAUCAAAACAAGUCCUUCGGACUAAUUAAGCUACGUAGAACCAAAAAGGUCCAGAUUCCUCUCUCCUUUCAGUCGAGCCUGUGGAUCAAAUCAGUGGAAUGAACAAGUCCUUCGCAUCUAGACCUCUUAUAAUUCUACGGGGUCCGACUAUCCACUGACUUCGCUAGGCCCUUGUGAAUUGAGGACUGAGAGUUUCCUCCUCAUUCUCCCACGGAGAAAAUGAGAAAAGAGCUUUCAGAGAAGACAAGAGAUCAAUGAACAAGGGAAGAAUGAGACAGGACAGAAGCCAGAAAGAGAAGAGAAAGCCUCCCAACAACAUCGAUCAGUCUGAGAGGAAGAAAAGGAAUAAAGAAAGAGCUCAAAAAAAAGGAGGCUAGAAGGGAAGAGAAAGCCCACUACGCUAGGCUUUAUCGGUAUAGGUUUGGAAGGUUUCAGAAGAGGAAGGUGAAAGAAGAAGACAAUGAAACUCAAUGAACAAGGGCUUGAUCUUAUGAGGCCUUCUACGGACUCCCAGAAAGAUCAAGCCUAUGAAAGGAAAGCCACUAAAAACCUACGCCCGGAGUCAAGGUUAUGGAAUAGCGAGACCGCUCCGUUAGGAUCAAAGAGGUCUGGAGGACCCGUCCGGAGGAUAGGCUUGAUUUUCACAAUGUAGAUGUAUCAAAGAUGGAAGAGGUCCGAAGUGGAAUAUUCAUAUGUCCUUAUCAAUGAGACCACAGGUGAAUAUGGAUUUCAGACUCCUAAAAAAUCAGAGGUUCAUAUUCCAUUUCAUGACUCCUUCUACGGGAGGCGCGAAGCGAAGCGACUCUGAAUUCGAGAAUUCUUCUCAAAUUCCACUAACCCCUCCGUUAGGAGUAUUAAGACCGGAGGACCCAUUUGAUCCCGCAAAGUCUUUGACUUUAUUCUCAAUGAGACCACUAACUAGGUUAAGUGAAAUAUUGAAGGAGAUAGAGAGGAAGAAGCUAAUAUAAGGAUAGGAGUGUGAAGGAGCGCAAUCAAUGAACAAGGCUCCGUAAGGAGUUGCGACGUGCUUUUCAAUCAAAAAGAGAAGAAAGAAGAAGGAAGAAGAUAGAGAGAAGAAAGAUCUUUUUUUCUGAAAGAGAAAAGAGAAGAGAAAAAGAAAGAGAAGUUCAUAUUAGUUCCAUGAAUGAGUCACCUGGACCUUUGUUUUUGGAGUCUGAUCUUUUCUUCUUAUUUCGCGGGAUGUUCAAUUCUUCUCUCUUUCCUAAUGGAUCACAAACAAAAGGAAUCAAUCUUUCUCUUUUCAUAUCUUUCUUUUUUUUUUGGAGUGAAUUGGUUUUCUUUGGUUUGUUCUUUCUUCUCUUCAUCGGGGAAUGUCUCCAUCAAGGUGCGCCGCUCUUCUCUCUUUCAUUCGAACUGAGAUAGUCAGCCGUAGAGUGAAAUCGGAUCGAUCACUCUUUUCUCUUUCAUCUCUUUUUUCCGUACUACCAGAAUCAAGGCCCCUUGUUCAUUGAGGCGGUGCGAAGGCAAGGCUCAAAGAAAGAUGAAUAUGGUUUUUCGCAAAUUCUUUGCUCCUAGCUACGGGGUCAAGACGACCUCCUCCGGAGUAUAUAGCUCGUGAAUAUGUCCUUAUCAACUCAACUCCUACUCCGCCUCUAUCUGACUUAGUCGAGCUGCUUCGCACCUGUGAAGUCGCUUCUCAAACCUUUGAGUGUGGAAUUCGAAAAGAAUUUUCUCAUUCUUUGAGCCUUAACAGAUGAAUAUGGAUUUCUGACUCGUCCGGAGGUUCAUAUUCCAUUGACUGAGUUCCACUCCUUUGAAUUUGAAGAAUAAGGAAGUCUUUAUUCAAUGAGCUGAGAUAAUUCUUUGAUCCUUACAGAUGAAUAUGGAUUUCUGACUCGUCCGGAGGCGGUAUAUUGUUCUGAUAAUCGUCGGGCUCCUUCACAUAAUAAGGAAUAAGGACUUUCGCUUUCAAGUCCUAACCUUUGUAUCCUUUGAUUUGGAGUCGUCCGGAGGUUAUGAAAUAACGAGAAAAAAAACAAAGAAAUUCAUGAAUUGAGAAUGAAACCUAUGAAUUUUUGUAAUCAACGACCUUGUAAUCCUUAGCGAAAAUUCAGAAAAUGCUAGGUUUUGGGCCUAUAAAGUAGCAAGAAAGAAAGUCAAAUGCCUGAUUUUUUUAUCUAUUUUCGUUAAAUAGAAAGAUGAGAAAAAGUCAGAUUUAGAAGGAAAAAAGACGGGAAAACGCAAUGAAAGAAUCAAGCCUAUCAAAGAAAUGAACAUUGUUUGAUUAUAGUUCUAGUUUCUGGUCCGGAUAAAGAGAGGAUCAAGAAAUGUUUUUCACUCAAUUAUCGUUAUAUAUCAAGAUUCGAAAAAGUCAGAUUUAGAAGGAAAAAAGUAGUUUAAUUAAUUGCAAUUCAAGAAUCAAGCCUAGGACAGGUAAAAGAAAUGAACAUAGUUUGAUUAUGGUUUGUGGUCCGUAGGUUAAUAUGGAUAGUCCUCCGGAUAAAUCCUCCGGACAGGGAUCUUCUUUGAAUAAGGACGGAUCAUGAAUUCCACUCAAAAUUCCUCUGGUCUCGUCUAUGAAUAUUAAUGGUUCUGACUUGCACUCCUCUCCUUCUUAGUCUCGGUCCUCUCCCCCUAUCGUCGGCGAGCCGCUUUCGCUCUGAACCUUCGUAGCUUGAUUCUGCUUCGCUCUGAACCUUCGUAGCUUGAUUCUGCUUCGCUCUGAACCUAUAUUUUUUUCUACGAGUACCUUCGCUCUGAACCUUCCUAACCUCAGUCGAGCCGCUUUCGCUCCUGUCCUUCGUAGCUUGAUUCUGCUUCGCUCCUGCACAGUCCUUUCGCUUCGCGCCGGAGGACAGGUGAAUAUGGAAUGAAGCUAGUCCGGACCCUUAUUUAUUCUGGACCCCUCGCAAAUUCUUUGCGCCUUGUUCU